AAUUGGAUUCAACGCCGGAAAUCUUACCGGGACCGACAGCAAUAUGAAGGCCAGGCUGAGGACUUUGCCGGAUUAGCUGAGAGGUGGUGCAUGGCCGUCGUCAGUUCGUACUGUGAAGCAUCCUGUUAAGUCAGGCAACGAGCGAGACCCACGCCCACAGUUGCCAGCGUACUCUCUGGAGUGACGGGUACACUGUGGGACCGCCGCUGCUAAAGCGGAGGAAGGAAUGGGCAACGGUAGGUCAGUAUGCCCCGAAUAUCCCGGGCUACACGCGAGCUACAAUGGUUGGUACAAUGGGUAUCUACCCCGAAAGGGGACGGGAAUCUCCUAAAACCAAUCUUAGUUCGGAUUGAGGGCUGCAACUCGCCCUCAUGAAGCUGGAAUCCGUAGUAAUCGCGUUUCAACAGAACGCGGUGAAUACGUCCCUGCUCCUU
rnacentral:rRNA from 1 species